CCGCCUCUACUCCAUUUUCAUAGGGCGGGGGAGCGGUCAAAAAGGAGGAAAAAGCCGCCGGGCCGGCGGUGCGGCAGUGUGGAGACCUGCCGUAAAGCCCGGGGAGUUUCGCUCUCCCCGGACGAGAGGGUACUUGCGGAGGCAUUGCCCUUACGGCCCACGCAUAUGGCA
rnacentral:ncRNA from 1 species